rnacentral:rRNA from 1 species
CGGGGGACGAUAACGGCGUCGAGCGGCGGACGGGUGAGUAAUGCCUAGGAAAUUGCCCUGAUGUGGGGGAUAACCAUUGGAAACGAUGGCUAAUACCGCAUGAUGCCUACGGGCCAAAGAGGGGGACCUUCGGGCCUCUCGCGUCAGGAUAUGCCUAGGUGGGAUUAGCUAGUUGGUGAGGUAAGGGCUCACCAAGGCGACGAUCCCUAGCUGGUCUGAGAGGAUGAUCAGCCACACUGGAACUGAGACACGGUCCAGACUCCUACGGGAGGCAGCAGUGGGGAAUAUUGCACAAUGGGCGCAAGCCUGAUGCAGCCAUGCCGCGUGUGUGAAGAAGGCCUUCGGGUUGUAAAGCACUUUCAGUCGUGAGGAAGGUGGUGUAGUUAAUAGCUGCAUUAUUUGACGUUAGCGACAGAAGAAGCACCGGCUAACUCCGUGCCAGCAGCCGCGGUAAUACGGAGGGUGCGAGCGUUAAUCGGAAUUACUGGGCGUAAAGCGCAUGCAGGUGGUUUGUUAAGUCAGAUGUGAAAGCCCGGGGCUCAACCUCGGAAUAGCAUUUGAAACUGGCAGACUAGAGUACUGUAGAGGGGGGUAGAAUUUCAGGUGUAGCGGUGAAAUGCGUAGAGAUCUGAAGGAAUACCGGUGGCGA